UAUACCGAUGUCUUCUCCAAACAAGUACCAUCAAGAGAGUGUUGAUACAGUGGUGGAGCCUGGCUGCCAUGCGAAUCAGUCACACUAUGCUUGAGCUCUGAAUAGAAAAGCUGAAUGUUAUACCUUUUCAGGUCUAAUUAUCAACAUGUCCGGCAUAACAGUUAAUCCUGACCCUCUGAAACCGGAGAGCUCAAGGUACAAGCAUCUUAGAGCCCCUAACAAGUGAUAUAUUCAGAUUUUGGCCUGGGCAAAUUAAAGGGACACUAUAGUCACCUGAACAACUUUAGCUUAAUGAAGCAGUUUUGGUGUAUAGAACAUGCCCCUGCAGCCUUACUGCUCAAUCCUCUGUCAUUUAGGAGUUAAAUCCCUUUGUUUAUGAACCCUAGUCACACCUACCUGCAUGUGACUUGCACAGCCUUCCAUAAACACUUCCUGUAAAGAGAGCCCUAUUUAUGCUUUCUUUAUUGCAAGUUCUGUUUAAUUAAGAUUUUCUUAUCCCCUGCUAUGUUAAUAGCUUGCUAGACCCUGCAAGAGCCUGCUGUAUGUGAUUAAAGUUCAAUUUAGAGCUUGAGAUACAAUUAUUUAAGGUAAAUUACAUCUGUUUGAAAGUGAAACCAGUUUGUUUUUUCAUGCAGGCUCUGUCAAUCAUAGCCAGGGGAGGUGUAGCUAGGGCUAGAUAAACAGAAACAAAGUGAUUUAACUCCUAAAUGACAGUGAAUUGAGCAGUGAAAUUGCAGGGGAAUGAUCUAUACACUAAAACUGCUUUAUUUAGCUAAAGUAAUUCAGGUGACUAUAGUGUUCCUUUAAGACCUUCUUGGUGCCACAGGUGCGAGUGAUGCAGCUGAUCUCUCCACCCAUAGUUUUCCUUGAACCCUAUGACAAUCUCAUAUGCCCCCACCUAAUGGUGUGGUUUAUGCUGGCAAUCAUCACUAGUGAUUAUAGAUUGAAACUUUGUUACCAGCCUAAUGUGUGCUCACUCUUUUACUAUCUAAGAUGGUGACAUUUGUAGACCCAUGAAGAGCCUAUACAGCAACAUGGAGAAUUCCUGGGUGCAUUCAACCUUCUGUGCUCCGCAUUCUGGGAAUGAUUGAAGCUCCGACAGGCUGCUGGGGUGAGUGCAUCCACUUAAUUGGCGCAAGCAGAGGCCUUGGGAAGACGCACCGUGUCAAAGGCCUCUGCGGCUCGAGUUGUGCCAGAGACAGUUGUGGGCCUAUUGUUCUGUGUAACUAGGCUCAAGCCACAGCCUCUGUUACUUUCCAGAAGGCUGGUUGCUAAGGGAUGUGCCCC